UCCAGACUCCUACGGGAGGCAGCAGUGGGGAAUAUUGCACAAUGGGGGAAACCCUGAUGCAGCAACGCCGCGUGAGUGAAGAAGUAUUUCGGUAUGUAAAGCUCUAUCAGCAGGGAAGAAGAAAGACGGUACCUGACUAAGAAGCCCCGGCUAACUACGUGCCAGCAGCCGCGGUAAUACGUAGGGGGCAAGCGUUAUCCGGAUUUACUGGGUGUAAAGGGAGCGUAGACGGCUGUGCAAGUCUGAAGUGGAAGCCCGUGGCUCAACCGCAGAACUGCUUUGGAAACUGUAUAGCUUGAGUACUGGAGAGGCAGGCGGAAUUCCUAGUGUAGCGGUGAAAUGCGUAGAUAUUGCGCAGAACUCCGAUUGCGAAGGCAGCAUACCGGCGGCGAUCUGACGCUGAGGCACGAAAGCGUGGGUAUCGAACAGGAUUAGAUACCCCCGUAU
rnacentral:rRNA from 1 species